GUGACGGGCGCCCGCCGGAGGUACGAAACUCUAAUGUAUUAUAGUGGCAUCUCUGAGUAAAAAGCAAAUAAGUUAAAACUUUCAACAACGGAUCUCUUGGUUCAGGCAUCGAUGAAGAACGCAGCGAACUGCGAUAAGUAAUGUGAAUUGCAGAAUUCAGUGAAUCAUCGAAUCUUUGAACGCACAUUGCGCCCGCUAGUACUCUAGCGGGCAUGCCUGUUCCAGCGUCAUUUCAACCCUCAAGCUCUGCUUGGUGUUGGGGCCCUACGUCUGACGUAGGCCCUGAAAGGAAGUGGCGGGCUCGCUACAACUCCGAGCGUAGUAAUUCAUUAUCUCGCKAGGGACGYUGCGGCGUGCUCCCGCCGUUAAAGACCCCAUCUUUAACCAAGGUUGACCUCGGAUCAGGUAGGAAUACCCGCUGAACUUAAGCAUAUCAAUAAGCGGAGGAAAAGAAACCAACAGGGAUUGCCCUAGUAACGGCGAGUGAAGCGGCAACAGCUCAAAUUUGAAAUCUGGCUUCGGCCCGAGUUGUAAUUUGUAGAGGAUGCUUUUGGUGAGGUGCCUUCUGAGUUCCCUGGAACGGGACGCCAGAGAGGGUGAGAGCCCCGUAUAGUCGGCCACCGAUCCUCUGUAAAGCUCCUUCGACGAGUCGAGUAGUUUGGGAAUGCUGCUCAAAAUGGGAGGUAUAUCUCUUCUAAAGCUAAAUACUGGCCAGAGACCGAUAGCGCACAAGUAGAGUGAUCGAAAGAUGAAAAGCACUUUGAAAAGAGGGUUAAAUAGCACGUGAAAUUGUUGAAAGGGAAGCGCUUGUGACCAGACUUGUGCCGGGCUGAUCAUCCAGUGUUCUCACUGGUGCACUCGACCCGGCUCAGGCCAGCGUCGGUUCUCGCAGGGGGAUAAAAGCUUCGGGAACGUGGCACCUCCCGGUGAGUUAUAGCCCGUUGCUUAAUACCCUUGUGGGGACCGAGGU
rnacentral:rRNA from 1 species